rnacentral:rRNA from 1 species
GACGAACGCUGGCGGCGUGCCUAAUACAUGCAAGUCGAACGCACAGUUUAUACCGUAGCUUGCUACACCAUAAACUGUGAGUUGCGAACGGGUGAGUAACGCGUAGGUAACCUGCCUGGUAGCGGGGGAUAACUAUUGGAAACGAUAGCUAAUACCGCAUAAUAUUGAUUAUUGCAUGAUAAUUGAUUGAAAGAUGCUAUUGCAUCACUACCAGAUGGACCUGCGUUGUAUUAGCUAGUAGGUGAGGUAACGGCUCACCUAGGCGACGAUACAUAGCCGACCUGAGAGGGUGAUCGGCCACACUGGGACUGAGACACGGCCCAGACUCCUACGGGAGGCAGCAGUAGGGAAUCUUCGGCAAUGGACGAAAGUCCGACCGAGCAACGCCGCGUGAGUGAAGAAGGGUUUCGGAUCGUAAAGCUCUGUUGUAAGAGAAGAACGGGUGUGAGAGUGGAAAGUUCACACUGUGACGGUAGCUUACCAGAAAGGGACGGCUAACUACGUG